ACUAAAUAGAUACCCCGGUAGUCCACGCCCUAAACGAUGUCUACUAGUUGUUGGUGGAGUAAAAUCCAUGAGUAAACGCAGCUAAACGCGUGAAGUAGACCGCCUGGGGAGUACGGUCGCAAGAUUAAAACUCGAAGGAAUUGACGGGGGCCCGCACAAGCGGUGGAUUAUGUGGAUUAAUUCGAUGCAACGCGAAAAACCUUACCUGGCCUUGACAUGCCACUAACGAAGCAGAGAUGCAUUAGGUGCCCGUAAGGGAAAGUGGACACAGGUGCUGCAUGGCUGUCGUCAGCUCGUGUCGUGAGAUGUUGGGUUAAGUCCCGCAACGAGCGCAACCCUUGCCAUUAAUUGCCAUCAUUUAGUUGGGCACUUUAAUGGGACUGCCGGUGACAAACCGGAGGAAGGUGGGGAUGACGUCAAGUCCUCAUGGCCCUUAUGGCCAGGGCUUCACACGUAAUACAAUGGUCGGUACAGAGAGUUGCCAACCCGCGAGGGGAGCUAAUCUCAGAAAGCCGAUCGUAGUCCGGAUUGUUCU
rnacentral:rRNA from 1 species